AGAGACAAAGCUUUAACCAUAAUUGGUGCUUAACCUUCUUGCUCCUGUUAAUGAUUUUGGCCAUGAAGGCAUCAGAGUAAGGGGAGGAAGAAUGGGACGGCGCCUGCCGGAAGUUGUCGAUGGGUGUUGACGGCCUGGCCAAGCCAUCUCCCUCCACGAUAGGUGGCAGUCGGCGGAGAGGUGUAAAUAUGACGAGAUGUGAAAAUAAGCUCGAGGAAAUUAAUAUGGACCAGCAAACUGACAAAAGCAGAAUAUAACAUAAUUAUAUUACAGAGUGUACUAACAUAAUUAUAUUCCAGAUUAAACUAAUGGCACAACAAUUUACAGGGUUAGAAUGCAGUGCACAUAUAUAUCUCAGUGGCGCAAAAACUAUUUAGCCAACUUCACUAACAAUGCAGAAAUUGGCUUCAGUGUACUAACAUAGUUAUUUUGGAUAUAAGCAAUCAACCACGAAUUUAACAUCAGAGAUAUCUGACCAUUUUAAGUAACAAAAAAAGAGCCCAAUAGCAGCACAACAUGGAGCUGCAUUAACCAGCCCCUUUUAAAGAAAGGCUUUAGGAUCACAAGUUGUGUAGUUGAUCAACUUGGAAAUAUAAAAGAAUUUACUUCAAAUCAGUACAACACCACCGACAAAUGCGAUGUGAUAAGAAAGCAAUGAACAUAUACACUGCUCCACACUUAGUUUUGUAUGUAAAGAGAAAGCCAUGCCAGAUGAUUUUUUUGGAUCACAGAAAGCCAUCUUGAAUACAUCUGAAUGAUAUAAUCAAUUUUCGAAAUGUUUGGCAGGCACAAGAAAAACACACGAGUAAAAAUAAUAAUAUAUGAUUGGUAUCUGUAUUUGAUCCACCUGGGUACAUGUACAUCCUAAAAGCAACAAGACAAGCUAUCAUCCAACCUCAUGUGCAGCUUAUCACAUGGUACACAGAACUUCACAAAUUAUCAGGACAUCAAUCAAGUAUUAAAAUGCAUGAGCAAGUAGAUAAACUUACCCCAGAACUUGUUUCCCAAAGUACUUACAACACGGUGACCACAAUAUAAAGCCGGUGACCUGUACUGAUCUGCAGGACUACAUCAUUGUAAUUUGUUCAAACCAGCACCUAAAUUCCACACAUUGCCUCACUACAUGCAGGUGAAAAGGCAUAAACCAGAACGCAACUGAACAAGUGAUAACAAGAUUGGCAUAC
rnacentral:lncRNA from 1 species